rnacentral:rRNA from 1 species
UAGGAUUCCCUUAGUAAUGGCGAAUGAACAGGGAUGAGCUCAGCAUUAAAAUCUGGGCCCCCGGCCUUGAAUUGUAAUCUCGAGAAGUGCAACCAACGGCGGCGCAGGUGUAAGCCUCUUGGAAAAGAGCACCAAUGAGGGUGAGAGUCCCGUUUGUCAUCUGCAGUCCUCUGUGUACGGUGUGCUUUCUAAGAGUCACGUUCCUCGGGCUUGGAGCGCCAAAGGUGGUAAAUUUCAUCUAAAGCUAAAUAUAGGUUUGAGACCGAGUAGCAAACAAGUACCAUGAGGGAAAGAUGAAAAGGACUUUGGAAAGAGAGUUAAAAGUGCCUGAAAUCGCUGAAAGGGAAGCGAAUGGAACCAGUGUUUCUUGCAGAGCUUGGCGAGAGUAAUCUGGAUGGUGCUCUGAUUCAGCGCAAGCGUUUCAGGGUUCUUUGAAGGUGCAUUCUUGCUGUUGCUCUGCUUGCUUGUCAACGUCAAUUUGGAGUUGGGGAAAACUCUGGGGUACUGGAAGCCACCUUUCGGGGGGGUGAACGCCCUUGCAGAACUCAUCUCUAGAUUGAAGUGCUUGCGUUUGGUUGCAAUGCCUCACUCUGUGCCAGCUGCCCUGGUAAAUUCAGCAGGUGCGCGGCGCUCAUCAGUGGGUGCGUUCCUUGACGCUACGAUGCUGACAAAAUGGUUUCACUCGACCCGUCUUGAAACACGGACCAAGGAGUCUAACAUAUGUGCAAGUUCCCGGGUGGUUAAACCUGUUGGCGUAAUGAAAGUGACUGCUGGGAUUUUUGCACCAGCAACCGACUGACCAAUUGAGAGAGGUUUGAGUAUGAGCACAUCUGUUAGGACCCGAAAGAUGGUGAACUAUGCCUGAGAAGGGUGAAGUCAGGG